rnacentral:rRNA from 1 species
GACGAACGCUGGCAGCGUGCUUAACACAUGCAAGUCGAACGGUAAGGCCCUUCGGGGUACACGAGUGGCGAACGGGUGAGUAACACGUGGGUGAUCUGCCCUGCACUUCGGGAUAAGCCUGGGCAACUGGGUCUAAUGCCGGAUAGGACCACUGCCUGCAUGGGUGGUGGUGGAAAGCUUUUGCGGUGUGGGAUGGGCCCGCGGCCUAUCAGCUUGUUGGGGGGGUGAUGGCCUACGAAGGCGACGACGGGUAGCCGGCCUGAGAGGGUGACCGGCCACACUGGGACUGAGAUACGGCCCAGACUCCUACGGGAGGCAGCAGUGGGGAAUAUUGCACAAUGGGCGCAAGCCUGAUGCAGCGACGCCGCGUGAGGGAUGACGGCCUUCGGGUUGUAAACCUCUUUCAGCACCGACGAAGCGCAAGUGACGGUAGGUGCAGAAGAAGGACCGGCCAACUACGUGCCAGCAGCCGCAGUAA